UCAGGCACAGUAAAUGUUUAUGUCAGAGAUCUGUUGCGCAUGCGUCGGUCAAAUGUGUUUUUUUGUCAUUUUUGCAUUCGUUUUCAGGGCACUGUUCGGUUGUGACAAACAGACGAACGACCUAAAUGUGAUUGAGACUGGAGAUGGGAGCAUCGAGGAAUUGGGCGAAGAGUUUAGCGGCAGUAAAAUACAAUACGGAUGGUGCAAAGUGACCGAUUCAAACACCAACCUGCCAAAGCUUGUUCUUAUCAACUGGUUUGGGGAGGCGGCACCGACAUCACGGAAAGGCGUCUGUCAACAUCAUGUCAAUGAUAUUGCCGGAUUUCUAAGGGGUGCUGACGUGACCAUCAAUGCUCGUCACGAAGGCAACGUGGAGGAGAAGGUCGUAUUAGAGAAAGUGUCGAAAUCGUCUGGAGCUCGUUAUGGCUUCCACAAGGAAAAGGCCAGACCAGUGGAACCAUCCGGUCCAGUGGGUUUGGUUUACAAGAAAGCCGACGUACGAGCUGAUAUUGAUGCAAACAAACGAGACAAGUUUUGGUCUGACCAAGAGAAACUUGAGAAGCAGUGCGUUCAAGAGGAACGUAAGGUAAAAAUUGAGGAAGCAAAGAAGCGGACAGUGAAAUCAAAGAGAGGGAGGCAAAAGAGACAACUUAGUGGAGAGAGAAAGCUGAACGUGAACGAUCAAUUGAUGCACAGAAACAGAAGCCGAGGUCGCUGCUGCAGACGAAGCCGCUCGACAGGCACAGGAAGCAGCCGAGCAAGCACUAGCUGAACAGAGAAAACUUGAGAAGCAGUGCGUUCAAGACGAACGUAAGGCAAGAGGAGGAAGCAAAGAAGCAAGACAGUGAAGUCGAAGAGAGGGAGGCAAGAGAGAGACAACUUUGUGGAGAGAGGGAAGCUGAACGUGCACAAGCAAUUGAUGCACAGAAGUGAGCUCGUGAAAGGGAAGAAUAUUGUAGACGUGAAAAAGAAGACAGAGCACAUUGCAAAGCUCGCAUGGAGCAGUUGGAUGCUUGAAACUGAGAGCAAGAAGCGGCUAGCACACGAGAAAAGACGAAGGUUUAAGCAGCAGGGAAGUGCAUUGAAUAGUUUGCUCCAGUCAUCACUAUUCACGUGGCACUGGUCAUUGCUAUGAAUUGAUGUUCAUGCAUGUUGGUGUGGUUUGCAUGCAACAUGCUGCAAAGUAAGCUAAACGUCUUGCAAAUGUAUUAUGGGAGACAUCAAGUGUCAGUUCUCAAAUGAAUGUAAGGUAGAUGAGUCUGUCUUAAAUACAAAGCAAGUGAAGAUGAUGAGAGAGGACACGAGCAGUAGGUUGUGAGUCUAGUCCAUCAUGGAGUCGUGCAGUGGAUCAAGAGAAGCAAGCAGUCAGCAGCCCAGCCGUCAGUUUGAAUAGUGGCAGAGUUUGCAAACGAGCAGACAGACUAGAUGUGUAAGUUAGAGGAGAGAUGGAGUGAUAGUGAGGCGUCUAGAUGAGGUGAGAGUAUGAGAGUGUCCAGUUGUAGGAGGUACACUGUAGUGUUGAAUUGAGUUUUGUUGAAUACAUUACUGUACUCACAAGUGCACGUGUCAUCUAGUU